CGCAUCUGUGCAUGCAGCAUAUCAAUAAGCGGAGGAAAAGAAACUAACAAGGAUUCCCCUAGUAACGGCGAGUGAAGCGGGAAGAGCUCAAAUUUGAAAUCUUAAAGGGUUUCCCUUUACGAAUUGUAGUUUAAAGAAGUGUUUUCUGUUGAGGUUUUGGUAAAAGUUCUUUGGAAUAGGACAUCAUAGAGGGUGAGAAUCCCGUAUUUGACCUUUACUUUCAACUUUGUGAUACACUUUCAAAGAGUCGGAUUGUUUGGGAAUGCAGUCCAAAAUGGGUGGUAAAUUUCAUCUAAAGCUAAAUAUUGGCGAGAGACCGAUAGCGAACAAGUACCGUGAGGGAAAGAUGAAAAGAACUUUGAAAAGAGAGUUAAACAGUACGUGAAAUUGUCAAAAGGGAAGCGUUUGACACCAGUGCUGUUUUUCUGAAAAUCAAUUAAAGAACUGUUUAUGCUAAGUUGUUUAGACUUUAUCAGCUAUCUGCUUAGUUUUGAGCUUUUCUUUAAUGCACUUUUCAGUUAACAAGUCAACAUCAAUUUCUUUUGCUGUAAAAAAGCUUGAGGAAGGUGGCUUGAGAUUCGUCUUAAGUGUUUAUAGCCUCUUGCCUAUGCAGUCGGAGAGAUUGAGGUCUGCAGCUGUAGAUCCUUCGGGGCUAAAUGCAUUUGUGCUAAGUUAUAGCAUUUUAUAGACAACUUGUUGACUAUGAUUUGUCUUGUAGCUUACUCGCUUAUGUUAUUUUACCUACGCUUAGGAUGUUGACGAGACUGUCGAUCUC
rnacentral:rRNA from 1 species